AUGGAACUCAGACAAGCAGCCGGUGACUUCAAGGACGAUGGAAGCUCCUUCAUGUGCUCCCGGCUCUACGUCGCCACGUUCGAGGGGCGCACGCAGGAGGUCGCCGGCCUCCUGGCGGGAAGAAGCGGCGACGCACCGCCGGCAGCGCACUCAAAAGUUAUCGCGGUCGACUACCACCAUGGGCGACCAUGUACGACCAGGGAGGUCACCGGAGAGGGGAACACGCUCCUGCACAUCGCCGCCGGGCAGGGCCACGGGAGCCUCAUCGCCGAGCUGUGCUACCAGGACAGCUCCCUCCUCUCCUCCGUGAACCGGGCGCUGGACACGCCGCUGCACAGCGCCGCGCGGGCCGGCCGCGCGGACGCCGCGGAGGCCGUCGUCCGGCUGGCGCGGGCGAACGUGGAGGAGGACGCGCUCUGCGGGAUCCUCCGCGGCAGGGACGACGCCGGGGACACGGCGCUGCACCUGGCCGCCAGGCACGGCCACCGCGAGGCGGUGGAGAGGCUCAUGAAGCUGGCGCCGGAGCUCGCCGCGGAGGUGGACGGCGCCGGCGUGUCGUCUCUGUACCUGGCGGUGAUGAGCGGGUCUGUGGACGCCGUCAGAGCCAUCGCCUCGCACGGCGACGCGUCGGCCGCCGGACCGAGCUCGCAGAAUGCGUUGCACGCCGCCGUUCUCCAAAGUUCAGAAAUGGUUGACUUGCUCUUGCAAUGGAGGCCGGCACUCACCAGCAACCUUGACACAAACAAGAGCAGCCCGCUGCAUUUCGCCGCAUCCGACGGCGACUGCUCCAUCAUCGAAGCGCUCUUAACACAUUCACCGCCCAGCACGGCAUAUCUGCAGGACAGUGACGGCGUCUCAGCUCUGCAUGUCGUGGCAAGGAUGGGCCAUGUAGCCGCCGUCCACCUGCUGCUGGAACUAUACCCUUCUUGCGCCGACAUUCGCGAUAACCGGGGCAGAAGCUUUGUGCAUGUUGCGGCCAUGAAGGGCCGCUCUUCCGUCAUGUCCUAUGUUAUCAAAAGCAAGAUGCUGGAACAUCUUCUGAACAUGCAAGACAAGGAAGGGAACACGCCGCUGCAUUUGGCCGUGGCGGCAGGGGAGCACAAAGUCAUCUCCAAGCUGUUAGCGUGUAAGAAGGUGCAUACCCACAUGAUGAACAAUGCUGGCCGGACACCAUCUGAUCUCAUAGAGGAUUCAACUGGUUUCUACUCAAUGAUAAAGCUAGUGGUGAAAUUGUAUAUUUCUGGAGCACGGUUCAGGCCACAGAGGCAAGACCAUAUAGAGAAAUGGAAGGGUCAGGAUAUCAUGAAAUGGCGAGAGACGAUAUCGAAAAAUCUUGCGAUUGUCUCCACACUCGUGGCAACAAUCGCCUUCUCUGCAGCGUUCAACGUGCCUGGAUCAUACGGGUCUGAUGGAAAGGCAAAUCUUGAUGGGGAUCGUUUCUACAACGCCUUCUUGGUGUUGGACACCAUUGCCGUGACCACAUCUGUGGUUGCAACAAUACUUCUUAUCUAUGGGAGAGCUUCACGGACAAAUCGCUCCUGGAUAGGCUUCAUUGUGUCAAUGCAUUUCCUUUGGGUGGCACUGAAUAGCAUGAUGUUAGCCUUCUUCAUGGCUAUAGCCGCCGUGGUGAGCGACAAGAACCCCAUGAAGAUUGCAUUGUCUCAGCUGAUGUACGGUGGGUUGUACAUCUUGAUGACACUGCUUGCAUGCUUUGCAACGCCCGGAUCGUUUCUAGGUGUUGUGCGGUUCUUGGUUGGCUGUUGUUCUGAACCUCUACGACGUUCCAAAAGACGCAUAAGUCGGCAGUUCCCCUUUGUUGUAUAUUAUGCCUUUAAUGUGAUUGUGUUCAUCAUUGUAAAUACAAUAGUACUUCUAUUAAUUAGUGUCGCUGGCCGUCUGCCUAGGUAG
rnacentral:rRNA from 1 species